GGCCAUUACACAUGUUGGUUCACUGUGUGGCUGUAGCAGUAUUGUGACCCCGAUGUGACAUCAAACGUGAUGUUUGGUGUCCAUGUGUCUGGUUGACCCUUGUUUGCUGAAAGCGGAUUGAUUACGCUCCUAUUGUCAUAUGCACCAUGAAUUGAUACCAUACGGCCACCAUAUUGCCUGAAUACAACAUACUGUAUUUUCUCAUGAUCAGUAUAUGAUGUUUUGAAAUGAUCUUUUGCACACGGAAGCUUGUCUUGAUAAAGAGCCCCAAUAGUGGAUCGAAAUGUCGACAACAAUAAGCCUGACCUCUACCGAAAUAAAGUUUUUGUGAAAUUAAAGCUGUUGAAGACCGUCUUAUUGGAUGAGUGCACCUCCAUACGAUUGGACUUUGUAUAUAUUGUUAUAUUGUGAGCCUGCCUGAUGAGGCAGAUUUUCACUAGGAGCACCCCAUCGUUGUUCAUUAUAGAUGCGAUUGCAGGAUUCUUUGUAAUAUAUAUAUAUAUAUGUGUGUAUGUAUGCAAAUGAGCAAAACGCACUAAAGUAAAG